GACGAACGCUGGCGGCGUGCUUAACACAUGCAAGUCGAACGGAAAGGCCCUGCUCUUGUGGGGUGCUCGAGUGGCGAACGGGUGUGUAACACGCGAGUAUCCUGCCCCUGACUUUCGGAUAACUUCAGGAAACUGGGGCUAAUACCGGAUAGGAGCUCUUGCUCCACGGUGGGGGUUGGAAAGUUUCGGCGGUUGGGGCUGGACUGGCUGCUUAUCCGCUUGUUGGUGGGGUAGUGGCUUACCAAGCCUACGACGGGUAGCCGGCCUGAGAGGGUGACCGGCCACAUUGGGACUGAGAUACGGCCCAGACUCCUACGGGAGGCAGCGGUGGGGAGUAUUGCACAAUGGGCGGAAGCCUGAUGCAGCAACGCCGCGUGCGGGAUGACGGCCUUCGGGUUGUAAACCGCUUUCGCCUGUGACGAAGCGUGAGUGACGGUAAUGGGUAAAGAAGCACCGGCUAACUACGUG
rnacentral:rRNA from 1 species